UUGAAGAAUUUGAAGACUUCAACUUACAAAUUUGAAGACUUCAACUUGCAAACAUGAAGAAUUUGAAAACUUCAACU
rnacentral:pre_miRNA from 1 species